UGUUAUGGAUGAGCAAAGAAAGUAGUUUCUUGAAAUGUAAUCUACUUCUGGUGAAGAUGCUGUGAA
rnacentral:pre_miRNA from 2 species